GGGGGAACUGAAACAUCUAAGUACCCCGAGGAAAAGAAAUCAACCGAGAUUCCCCCAGUAGCGGCGAGCGAACGGGGAGCAGCCCAGAGCCUGAAUCAGUGUGUGUGUUAGUGGAAGCGUCUGGAAAGGCGCGCGAUACAGGGUGACAGCCCCGUACACAAAAAUGCACAUGCUGUGAGCUCGAUGAGUAGGGCGGGACACGUGGUAUCCUGUCUGAAUAUGGGGGGACCAUCCUCCAAGGCUAAAUACUCCUGACUGACCGAUAGUGAACCAGUACCGUGAGGGAAAGGCGAAAAGAACCCCGGCGAGGGGAGUGAAAAAGAACCUGAAACCGUGU
rnacentral:rRNA from 1 species